ACAGCACAGCUUUGAGCCUCAACAGCGCUCCCAGAUCCAGACAUCUAUAUUCAAGACAUGAAGAAAAGUACUGGCCUGAGGAUACGAUGAAAAGUUGGAAGCCUGCAACCCGGAAGAGGGUUCUUAUCAGAACCUAACCAUGUUGGCACCCUGAUUAUGAACUUCUAG